CGUCUGCACGAGGACGACGCUCGUCCCGCUCGCUUGCAGCAAUCGCAUGGGCCGCCGCCCCAGCCGUCCCGGCAUCAAGCCAAGGCCCAGCCCAAGCCACAUCUUCUGCCGCUCCAUCAUUGCCCACCUUGAGAUCAGCCCCGACGCCACCACCAUCUUCAGAUGCAUACGCACACUACUUCCUUCUUCAAAUUGCUUCACCACAUCAUGCUGAAUUUGCAAACGGCCGCUCCUUACAUGUGUGAUCGAGAAGCAAGGUCAAGUAUGAGCAGGCUGUCAGCGUGUAGUGGUCGGAGAUGCCGUCGCAACUUACAUGUCGCAGUCGUCGGCUCCAUGCUAAGAUUACGAGGCUCUAUGGUUGUAUCGUGGUGUUCCAGUAGUAAACUUUCAGGCUGGUUAGAUAGGGGAUGAAGAUGAUGUAUACUACCUAACGGCCAUUGAGUAAUAAAAGGAGAUGGAUUGAACUACAUGAUUUAUGCCAUGGGAAUGAUGAAAAAUCUUUGAGUGAGGAUGUUGAAUAAUUCAGUCCUGAUCAAUGGCUUCUCAUAAAAGUCUUCCUGCCAGCAAGAGAGCCCUUGCAGAUUUACAGCUUUUAGUGUAAUUAUUACAGAGAAGACAUGCUUAGAGGGCCUAUAAUUUUACUAAGUGAACAUGUACUGAUCUCUACAUGCUUUUUAUUAGAGGUAAAGACGAUGCAUUGCCUAUCCAAGUCUCCAUACAAAUUUGUAGAUGCACAUGGCGUUUUAUCUAUCUGGCUAGCGUUUAUAUUCAAAACUCUUUUGUCCUUAUAUCUUUUCAGUAUCGCUUUCAUGUUUUACUAAGAUCUGUGCGGAAACAACAUGAGCCUUUGCUGCUUGGUCUGGGAUGGUGAAGUGGUGGUUGCAGUGGAAAUCGUUAAAGGGGGCACCGGUGUCCUCAGUUAUACGGUUACAGAAUAUAUGGAGUCAUGCCCAACGUUGCAAGGGAGCCUGUAGUGGGAGGCGACAAAGUAUUGGCUGUUACCAUAGUAUCCAUAAUGAGUUGUGUCAACACCAACCUCAGAGCUGGAAUAAGGAGUGCGCAUUCGCAUUGAUGAAACAACUUUCCCAUAGCCCGCUGCUACUGCCCACUACCACAAUCUUGCAUAGAUACUUGUGAGUACGUGAGAACAUCUGUAGGCUAAUAAACAGUACAAACACCAGGCUUAGUUUCGGAGUACAUAUAUUGCAUCGACUGGUAUGACAUCUGAAUAUAUAUCUGACUAGAGCCAUCAUAUGGACAAAUAAUCUUUGUAGCAGUCUGUUGGAUAAUUAUUGGAGAUGAUGCACUCUGAUGGACAGAUAUAGAAACCCAUUGUUAUUUUCAGUGAGGGCUGAAGUGAAUGAAUCUGGAAGUGCUUUAGUGAUUAAUGCUCUGUCCCAAGUUAAGCAUAUUCUACUUCCGGUCACUGGCCGCAAGCCUUACCUUUCAGUUCUAAUUCCUUGAGAUCACCACAGUUGUGAAUAUAGCCAUUGUUUCAACAGAACAAACCUAAGCUUAGCAUGAAAGAGAGUAUGAAAGUUCUGAUCUCUUCAAAAUAUGUGAGGGGCCUUGCUACCUUAGUUGUUGCAUAUGGCAUUAUAAUCAAUUUUGUGUAAGUCACAUGGAAAUCGAAGCUCAAGGCACAGUUCCCCAGUCCAAACGAGCACUCAUCUUUCAUGGGUGAUUUCUCUACCGCAACUGGACUUGCAACUUUCAUGAUGAUGCUGUUAGGCUGGAUUACAUUCCAAAGAUUUGGUUGGGGGGUGGCUUCCAUUAUCACCCCCAUAGUUUUGUGGUGACUGGCGUUGGUUUCUUCUCUGACUUUCAACAAGUGCAGUUCAUUGCCGCAGAGCAGUCUUAGAAGAUCCGUGCACAUGUAGCCUUAUUUCUUAUUCCAAAUUUCAUCAUACAAAAAAAAUACUCAGUGUAACCUCAUUUCUGAUGUUUGCGAAAAUUAGAUUAUAAAAAUGUUGCAUAAUG